rnacentral:rRNA from 1 species
ACAGAGGGGGCAAGCGUUGCUCGGAAUUACUGGGCGUAAAGGGCGCGUAGGCGGGAUGGCAAGUCGGUCGUGAAAUCCCUCGGCUCAACCGAGGAACGUCGAUCGAUACUGCUGUUCUUGAGGAUUGCAGAGGAGACUGGAAUUCCCGGUGUAGCGGUGAAAUGCGUAGAGAUCGGGAGGAAGGCCGGUGGCGAAGGCGGCGCUCUGGAACAUUUCUGACGCUGAGGCUCGAAAGCGUGGGGAGCAAACAGGA